GAUUGGUGUCCGAGGCGUAAAGGACCCACACCAAUCCAUCCAUCUUGAACUUGGGUAGUUAAACUAUACUGCGGUGACGAUACUGUAGGGGAGGUCCUGCGGAAAAAUAGCUCUACGCCAGGAU
rnacentral:rRNA from 1 species